GACGAACGCUGGCGGCGUGCUUAACACAUGCAAGUCGAACGGAAAGGCCCUGCUUUUGUGGGGUGCUCGAGUGGCGAACGGGUGAGUAACACGUGAGUAACCUGCCCUUGACUUUGGGAUAACUUCAGGAAACUGGGGCUAAUACCGGAUAGGAGCUCCUGCUGCAUGGUGGGGGUUGGAAAGUUUCGGCGGUUGGGGAUGGACUCGCGGCUUAUCAGCUUGUUGGUGGGGUAGUGGCUUACCAAGGCUUUGACGGGUAGCCGGCCUGAGAGGGUGCCCGGCCACAUUGGGACUGAGAUGCGGCACAGACUCCUACGGGAGGCAGCAGUGGAGAAUAUUGCACAAUGGGCGGAAGCCUGGUGCAGCAACGCCGCGUGCGGGAUGACGGCCUUCGGGUUGUAAACCGCUUUCGCCUGUGACGAAGCGUGAGUGACGGUAAUGGGUAAAGAAGCACCGGCUAACUACGUG
rnacentral:rRNA from 1 species